UACAGAGGUCCCAAGCGUUGUUCGGAUUCAUUGGGCGUAAAGGGUGCGUAGGCGGCGCGGUAAGUCGGGUGUGAAAUCUCGGAGCUUAACUCCGAAACUGCAUUCGAUACUGCCGUGCUUGAGGACUGGAGAGGAGACUGGAAUUUACGGUGUAGCGGUGAAAUGUGUAGAGAUCGGGAGGAACACCGGUGGCGAAGGCGGGUCUCUGGGCAAUUCCUGACGCUGAGGCGCGAAAGCGUGGGGAGCAAACGGG
rnacentral:rRNA from 1 species